rnacentral:rRNA from 1 species
UACGUACGAGGCGAGCGUUAUCCGGAAUUACUGGGCGUAAAGCGCGCGCAGGCGGCUUGCUAAGUCGGACGUGAAAUCUCCCGGCCUAACUGGGAGGGGUCGUCCGAGACUGGCCGGCUUGAGGCUGGCAGAGGUAGGUGGAAUUCCUGGUGUAGUGGUGAAAUGCGUAGAGAUCAGGAGGAACACCGGUGGCGAAGGCGGCCUACUGGGCCAGCACUGACGCUGAGGCGCGAAAGCGUGGGGAGCAAACAGG